CUUAGCAUUUUUCUAGUGAAGUGAACAAGUCUAACAGUGAAUUUGCGCCAAACUAGUUUUAUUAAAAUAAGAAUUUAAAUAAAUAAAUAUUAUUAUUUUACUAUUUCGAAUAAUGCAACAAAUGUGUUCGAUAGACACGCCAGUAUCUCCAGCUCUCAAGGCCGCGGAAUGUUAGAUGCCAUGCCAACUGGAUUUGUCUUGCAAAUGGUUUAACGGAUCCAACCAGGAAUAUGUGACUGUGAAAAAGCCGACUCUCUAUUCUUGCUAUUCAACUGAUCUACCAAGGCUAGUUUUAUAAUACACCGGACUCGGCUAGGCAAAUUAUCAACAAGGAGCAAUGGGGUUCCGCAGAGGGCGUUGAAGGCAGAUACUGCUUAUGAAAUAUUAAGUUUAUUUAUAAAUUCUUGUUUCUUGUUUAUACAGAAGGCCGGCGGAAGGUCAAUAAAUAGCCUUGCUCUACAGAAUAUUCCGAACGUUCUGGCUUCUAGUGGGGUGCUCUUUAAUAGUUUUUAAUUAACAGUACGGCUCUUUAAGUACUAAAAUAACAGUGAAAUAAAUGAGAUGGUCACGUGAUGUGAGUUGUGCACCGAUUAGCCAACGACUUCCCGCAACAGGUCUCUUGCUGGGCGUCAUCAGGCUUUUAAGUGGAAAGUUGCGGUUAUAGUUAAGGGGCAAAGCGGACUUCGUAACCUUUGGGAACUACUUAGCUCAAAAAAAGUUAGAAAGUAGGGUAGUGUCAACUUUCAACCUGGCCAUGAUGUAAAUAAGGUUUCCACUUGAUCACCACAAGUUCUUGACGCAAAACCCGGGUGGCAGUGCAGGCAACGGAUAUGUUAGGCAUACACUAAGAAGAAAGUCGAACUCUUUAGGCCUACAACUGAUUUGCACUUCACUCUUAACAACCAAGCAGGAUUUCACUUUAGAGCUGGAUCUCAGAGAGAGCAUCAUUCAGGGGCAUACGACUGGAAAGCGAUAUAUGGUAUGCUCGUCUUGUGAGAUUAACUCAUUACUUUGCCAGGAGUGCUGCUUAGCUCAAUAGCCUAUUCGCUUACAACUGCGUCCACCUCAUUCGGGCACCGGAAUAGAAAGGUAUAGUCAGAAAUAUGCAGAUGGGCGACUUAUGUAGCUCAUUUAAUAGCGCUUGUUGGGCCGAUUGAAACAGAACUCUUCUGCGAUGAGCAUUCCUAUGACAUAAAGAAGAGUUUCCGUAAAGAAAAGAAGUUUAGAGAGAGCCUGGUUUCGGGACGAAGUAAAUAACUUUUUCUAGAAUGAGUUAUAACCUCGAAUACACAAUUCGAGCAGAGCGUGCAUUCCAGUGGCAAGCACAAUUCUUGAAUUUAUUAGAGUGUUGUGAGUGGAGCAACGGCAGGUUGCAGUGCAAACCACAAUUUGUCUGCUAUAUUCAUUUCUAUAUAGAUACAAAAGACCUGCAAGCGGACAGUAAGCGAGUACUACUCAAAUAAAAUGCUCCUUCCAUAUAUACAAUUACAUAGUUGCGGCAUUCACACUUUUAAAUACUUUAUUUAACACUUCUGCAGUGCGAAAUCCGUUAGUUUUGUUGCUUUGCCCAAUUUUCCACGGCCGAAUGAGUUUUUUAUGCAACGCAAUUUUGCCGCAUCCUUAUAGAAUAAUUAAUUUUUGGGGCGACUGUAAAAAUAGCAAUUUGAACGGACUUUAGCGGGUUUCAGAGAAAACAGCUUGGCGUCCGGGUCAGCGGCGGAGGUGUGUGGCGUUCGCGCAGGA